AGUGUCCAGAGGAAUGGAUAUUUCAGUUUGCAUCAGGAUUCAAGAGUAUUGUGCUGGUACCUGUGCUUCCACAUGGAGUUCUUCAACUUGGUUCACCGGAGAUGGUAUGUCAAUGAAGAUUUGUCCAUUCUUGCAUAUAUCAAAGAUAGAUUUGCCUACAUUCAUGCACACUUUCCUCCACCG